GUAGGUGGCAAGCGUUGUCCGGGAAUUAUUGGGCGUAAAGCGCGCGCAGGCGGUCCUUUAAGUCUGAUGUGAAAGCCCACGGGCUCAACCGUGGAGGGUCAUUGGAAACUGGGGGACUUGAGUACAGAAGAGGAAAGCGGAAUUCCAAGUGUAGCGGUGAAAUGCGUAGAGAUUUGGAGGAACACCAGUGGCGAAGGCGGCUUUCUGGUCUGUAACUGACGCUGAGGCGCGAAAGCGUGGGGAGCAAACAGGAUUAGAUACCCUGGUAGUCCACGCCGUAAACGAUGAGUGCUAAGUGUUAGGGGGUUUCCGCCCCUUAGUGCUGCAGCUAACGCAUUAAGCACUCCGCCUGGGGAGUACGGCCGCAAAGGCUGA
rnacentral:rRNA from 1 species